rnacentral:rRNA from 1 species
GACAGAGGUGCCAAGCGUUAGGCGGAAUCACUGGGCUUAAAGCGUGUGUAGGCGGAAGCGUAAGUGCCUUGUGAAAUCCCACGGCUCAACCGUGGAACUGCUGGGCAUACUGCGUUUCUUGAGCCAGCCAGGGGUCGUCGGAACAAACGGUGGAGCGGUGAAAUGCGUAGAUAUCAGGAGGAACACCGAUGGCGAAGGCAGUUCUCUGGGCCGUAACUGACGCUGAGGAGCGAAAGCGUGGGGAGCGAACAGG